GUGGUAAAAAAGAGAGUCCAAUAGCAUCAACGUAGAAAUAGCGUAGAACAACUCAAAUCGGUUCAAAUCGUCGUUAGAAGGGCAAAGGGACAUUUUGUAGAUUACUGGGCAAGGUCGAGGGAUUACAAAAGAAACUAAAAUGGUGCACACGAACAUCCCACAAUCCGUCAUAAAGGCAGCCUACCAGGACGUCAGGAAGGGUAAGACUGGAGCCACGAUGUCCGAUAAUCAGCAGAACUCGCCGAAGAAGGGCGACAAGUACAAUUCCUGGGGUCCGAUCUUCAAGAACAAGCAAAGCUUCAUCGACAUGCACAUUUGCUGACGCGUGGCUUCAAAGGGAACGCGACAUCCGGCGAUAUCGCGGUUUAAUGGUUGCAGGCGCCAUUCGUUUUGAAAAUAAUCGCGUAUCGAGGAUCCGAGAACUUCUCUCGUGGCGAGAUUUAAAUUAGAAUGGCGUCUGUAAUACAAACUUGGUCGGUGGGGUAACUCGUGGUAAUUCAACAAUGUUAACAAAUAAGAUUUUCGUACGAAUAAAGAUGUGCGCCAUUGCGAUUGGAGGGUGUUGAUUGUAUCUCGACGAAUUGACACGAUUACGAGUGGAUAGAGAUCGAUUAUGAAAUUCUACCAUUUUUACGAUAGUAAUUUUAGUAAUUGGAUGAAAUUAAAUUCAUUUUAAAUUCGUUCGAUUCGAUUCAGUCGUUUCGUUGUAAUUCGUUUAGCUCGAUUCGAUACGAUUUUUGUUACGAUUAAUGAGAGAUAAUUCGACUGGUAGGAAUUUUAGCCGCGAUUUCCGGUCGAAGAGAAUGUUAACCCGAGGCACCGACGAGUCACUAUAGUGGAAAAAAAAAGUAAAUCGUGGACUAGUUCCGGCGGAUACGCAUCCCACGACGGAACAAAGACGAAGAACUCGGAAAAAAUAGCUCGACUGGAUGUCUGAGCAGACACUUGGGAUGCGACGCGUUGUAAUGAAUGUAUAACAAUUAUCACCCUGUCGACACUUAGAUGAAGUAUCACACGAGAAGAUUCUUUAUAGUUUUGUGUACGUGUACACUGUACACCUUGCAGGCUUGUACACUUUAUUUCGAAUGGUCUCGUAUUUCCUCUCGAAGCAUUCCAGUGGAUUCUUCCGUCACGAUCAGACAAGUCUGAAUCCACUCUGAGUCAGAACCUCUAUUGAAUGGAAUUGAAUGAACUCACUUUGAAGCACGUCAGAUGGAUCCUCUAUCGACAAAAUAAUCAUGCCGAUUUUAUUUUUUUACUAUUCUUCUUGUGGUUUAUUCAUCUAUGCUUCAAUUUAGUGCCAAAGUAGAUGCAAAUAGUAAGUACUGGAAUAGAAUAAUAAGGCAUACUGCUUCUUUGGAAAAGAAGCAUCAGGUAUUUUCGACAUUUUUGUGUACACCUUGCAGGCUUGUACACUUUACUUCGAAUGGUCUCGUAUUUCCUCGUGAAGCAUUUCAGUGGAUUAUUCCGCCAUGGUCAGACCACGUCUGAAUCCACUUUGAGUCAGACAGACUGUAUUUCGAAAUUUUCCAUCGAAACAUUCAGAGUUAAUAAAAAUAAACAAGAAAGAAGAUAAACACCUCAGAAACGAUCAAAGAUUCCUGGAUACUCAACUCUUGGAAAACCUACGAAGAAAUAUAAAAAAAGCUCAAGAAGAAACCGAAAAAAAAAUGUUCAGAAAAUGCUUGAAAAUUCAUUGUCGACAUCGAAGAUUUUCUAGAACCAUCAAAACGUUAAGAAACAAGAUAGACACCUCAUAAAUGAUCAAAGAUUCCUGGAUACUCAACUCUUGGAAAACCUACGAAGAAAUAUAAAAAAAAAGCUCGAGAAGAAACCGAAAGAAAAUGUUCAGAAAAUGCUUAAAAAUUCACUGUCGACGUCGAAGAUUUUCUAAAACCAUCAGAACGUUAAAAAUAACCAGGAGAACCCUCGGCAACAUCUGAACCCGCCCAUCUCCAAUAUCCAAACCAUAAAAUGAGCAAAUUCAUCGUUCGAAAUAAUCAGCGAGCACCACCAGUACACCUCGAAAACGAUGAAACUCCUGGAAAGCCCGUAAAGUAUAUCGAAAUCUCAUCGCCUCCCAAACUCGGAGAAAAUAGUAGGGGAAAGUCUGGGCGGUGGGGAAAGCAGCCGCGCGGAAGGGUACAAAAAAAAGCUCCAGUGCGAGAGGUUCGCGGUGUCUCGGGGUAGAACGAGCGCAAGCAGUCGUUGAAAGCGCGUCGACUUGGACGGUCCUCUGUGGGUUGGAGGGUCGGGGGAGGAGCAGCGUCGAACUCGCACCUCGUGCACGACCCCCCGCGCCUUUUCAUUUACCUCUUAUUAUUUUUUUAUUUAUUUAUUUAUUCGAUUCGUGGGCAUUCGCCGCGUGGGAAGUAUUUAUUUUCGAAGAAUCGUGUGCGACGCCACGAAGAAGAGGACGAAGACGAGGACGAAGAAAGGAAAAGUGUCGUUGCACCGUGGAACGCGAGAUACCCGAGAGUCGACGUCCCGACGCUGCUAUUUCGAGGCUGAAACACACCGGUGAGCUUUUGUCCUAACGGCGACAGGCUGAUCUCUUUUAAGGUGCAUUGCUCGCGAGCUUUCGUUCGCGAACAGGGAUCAUUCGGAAAAAGGAGGGGCUAGUUCGAGGUCCUUUUUUCGCGAUUCCUAGACGAUUCCGUUCUAUAAAUGGAGAAACCUUCGUCCUGCGAAGGGGACAUUCCGAAGCUCGACUGUUGGUUUUUGGUUCGAUUUUGCGCGGUACUAGGGCUUGAAAUGCUAUAGAUAAUGGUACGUGCGUUUGGACGUAGACUGGUUAUAGUUUAGGGGAUAGUUUUUAUAGUUGAGCUUUGGGGUGUAUUUAUGCAAAUGAAUACACGGGGAAAUCUGCGAGAACUUGCACAAAUGCAAAUAUAUAUAAAAUAUUUUCAUAUACACGUGACGCAAUUAACACGAUUCGAUAAUAAUUGAAACUUAGAUGAAAACAUAUCCUAUUUUCUAAAAUGAGGACACACUUUCAUUUAAGUUUUAAUUGUUGUGGAAUUGUGUUAAUUUCAUCGCCAUCGGUAUAGCUUGAGUAUUUCAUUUCUGGUAAUAUGACCACCAGUGAGAGUCUUUGAGAAAUUUAUAAAAACUGAUACAUGCAGUAGGUAUGUAUAUUGCAUAUGCAUGAACUUCUUUUGUUUCUAACCAUUGCUAUUAUCGGGGUGUAACGAUCCCUAUACUUCGCUCGGGAUUGCUCUUAUUAUUGAGAGCUGGAAAGACCAGUCCCGAGGGGUAUAAUGAACUAAAUAGCCUUCUCGACUCCCUGGAUUGCAUUUCCACGAGAUUUUAAUUCGAUCAGUUUUUUGUUUUAUUACAUUCUUUACCGAAGAAUCUUUAUAACUCAUUUUAAGCUAGA